UACGUAGGGUGCGAGCGUUAAUCGGAAUUACUGGGCGUAAAGCGUGCGUAGACGGUUAUUUAAGUCGGGUGUGAAAGCCCCGGGCUCAACCUGGGAAUUGCAUUCGAGACUGAAUAGCUAGGGUACGGUAGAGGGAAGUGGAAUUUCCGGUGUAGCGGUGAAAUGCGUAGAUAUCGGAAGGAACAUCAGUGGCGAAAGCGGCUGCCUGGCCCAAUACUGACACUCAGGUGCGACAGCGUGGGGAGCAAACAGG
rnacentral:rRNA from 1 species